rnacentral:misc_RNA from 1 species
AAGUCGUAACAAGGUUUCCGUAGGUGAACCUGCGGAAGGAUCAUCAAUAGUUCCAUUAAACGUUACAUGGUUAUCUUAACGGGUGACCAUGUGGCGAAACCUUCUUGUGCACUGUUGUUAAGUCAUGGGGGACUGGGGGGAGUUGUAUGUUGCCAGUAGCCGCUUGCGGUGACGGCAGCGUGCGCCUCCCAGCCCGCCGUCAGUUAUCAUUACACACUCUGAUAAAAUAAAGUCUGAUCUGUUGUAUUGUCACUGAGUAACAUCAGAGACGAGUUAAUAUAUUACUGAUACAACUUAUAGCGAUGGAUCUCUAGGCUCUG